UACGGAGGGUGCAAGCGUUUAUCCGGAAUCACUGGGUUUAAAGGGUGCGUAGGCGGUCUGAUAAGUCAGUUGUGAAAUUCCUCGGCUUAACCGAGUGGACUGCGAUUGAUACUGUCAGACUUGAAUCAGGUUGAGGUAGGCGGAAUGUGACAUGUAGCGGUGAAAUGCUUAGAUAUGUCAUAGAACACCGAUUGCGAAGGCAGCUUGCUGGGCUUAGAUUGACGCUGAGGCACGAAAGCGUGGGGAGCAAACAGG
rnacentral:rRNA from 1 species